ACACAUUCCAGCCAAUCAGCAGCAGACCCUCCCUCCCAGACUCUCCCACCUCCUGGACAGCAUCCAUUUUACAUCCAUUUGAAGCUGCAUUCUUAGUGAGCUGUCCAGGAGGUGGGAGGGUCUGGGAGGGAGGGUCUGCUGCUGAUUUGGCCUUUUGG